UAUAAGCCAUGGGCGCCCUGGAUCUGAAUAGUUGCUUCGUCUUCGUGGAGCAAAACCCUUCGUCUUCGCCGCCGCCGUUCGUUUGUCGAGCAGAGAGCCCUUCGUCGCCGCCGCUGUCCACCACCGCCUCCAGCGCCGCCACCGCGCGCCGCCGUCCACCACCGUCUUCAGUCCGCGUCCACUCCGUCCGGCCCCUACACACGUAUAGACACUCUCCAAACCG
rnacentral:lncRNA from 1 species